CGGGAAACUGUAGCUAAUACCGGAUACUUUCCCUGGUGGGCAUCCACCGGGGAAGAAAGAAUUUCGGUCAGGGAGGAUCUCGCGGCCUAUCAGCUAGUUGGUGAGGUAACGGCUCACCAAGGCGACGACGGGUAACCGGCCUGAGAGGGUGACCGGUCACACUGGGACUGAGACACGGCCCAGACUCCUACGGGAGGCAGCAGUGGGGAAUAUUGCACAAUGGGCGCAAGCCUGACGCAGCAACGCCGCGUGAGGGAUGAAGGCCUUCGGGUUGUAAACCUCUUUUAGCAGGGAAGAAGCGAAAGUGACGGUACCUGCAGAAAAAGCACCGGCUAACUACGUGCCAGCAGCCGCGGUAAUACGUAGGGUGCAAGCGUUGUCCGGAAUUAUUGGGCGUAAAGAGCUCGUAGGCGGUUUGUCACGUCUGCCGUGAAAAUCCAAGGCUCAACCUUGGACUUGCAGUGGGUACGGGCAGGCUAGAGUGCGGUAGGGGAGAUGGGAAUUCCUGGUGUAGCGGUGGAAUGCGCAGAUAUCAGGAGGAACACCAAUGGCGAAGGCACA
rnacentral:rRNA from 1 species